AGAAGCAGGCACUGCUCAGGGCACAGGGCUUCAUCUGCACUGGGCACUCUGCCCCAGAAAGGAACCAGGGAGGUGCUUGUGAGUGUGUGGCUAACAAAAGGACAAGACACAGCAUCAGUGGCCCUGCCACCUCCACUGCAGCAGCCCAAGGAGAGCAACUGCUCCCAGGGCUGUAUUUAAUAGAAAGUUUUGUUUAUAUGCCCUUCAUAAAUCAGUGUCCAUGUUGAGUAAGAAUCUGGCGAUGACAGAGAAUAAUCUUUCCUUGGGAAACCGUGAAUUGUGGAAGGGUACACAGUGCCUGACAUAAGAGCAAAAGCUAACACAACAUUUUGCCUUCCUGAACUCAGCAUCUGGCAGCUUAAAAUUUCUGAAACAACAGUUUGUUGCACUUUGUGGUCCCUCACAGACUGAGUGUGACCUUCAUGCAAGCAACUGUGAAGCAUAGAGCAAUGAGAUCAUGGUCCUUCUCCUGAGGCCAGCCUGACCCCUGAGGUGGCACAUCCUAUGCAGCAGCACUGAGAUGACGAUGCUGUUCUGAGCCAGGGCUGACUGAGCCAGGCAGGUUCCAGGCUCUCCCACUCCUCCCUGUUCAGUGGGUCUGGGAUGACAGCAGAAGAGGAUGACAGCACACUCACUAACCCUUACUCCCAGAACUUCUGGGAAAUGCUUGGCUGAGCAACAAUCGAGGGAGGGCAGGACGCGACUAAGCACAGAGCAUAUUGCUGUGUGAAAUCUUCCACAGGAAAAUUCAGGAAAUUCCCUAACAAUUUUGCUGCAUUAGUGCCUACUACAAUUUUUGAUACUGAAGAAGGGGCUGGGGACAGUGGGGGAUAGCACAGAGAAGCUCAUGCAGACAUUUCUUAGGGUACCUGUGAUGUGCCCAACAUAUUUCCUAAGGAGUCCUGAUGCCACACAGGAGAUGUCUGUCCAAGGGAAUUCUAUGGAAACCAGAGAAGGGGGACAUUUCUAUCACCUCAUUCCUCCUGCCAAAAAAG